rnacentral:piRNA from 1 species
UGAGUGACCUACAAAGAGACUUAGACUCCCA